CCUACGGGAGGCAGCAGUGAGGAAUAUUGGUCAAUGGGCGAGAGCCUGAACCAGCCAAGUAGCGUGAAGGAUGACUGCCCUAUGGGUUGUAAACUUCUUUUAUAUGGGAAUAAAGUGUACUACGUAUGGUAUUUUGUAUGUACCAUAUGAAUAAGGAUCGGCUAACUCCGUGCCAGCAGCCGCGGUAAUACGGAGGAUCCGAGCGUUAUCCGGAUUUAUUGGGUUUAAAGGGAGCGUAGGUGGAUUGUUAAGGCAGUUGUGAAAGUUUGCGGCUCAACCGUAAAAUUGCAGUUGAGACUGGCAGUCUUGAGUACAGUAGAGGUAGGCGGAAUUCGUGGUGUAGCGGUGAAAUGCUUAGAUAUCACGAAGAACUCCGAUUGCGAAGGCAGCUCACUGGACUGCAACUGACGCUGAGGCUCGAAAGUGUGGGUAUCAAACAGGAUUAGAUACCCUUGUAGUC
rnacentral:rRNA from 1 species